CAGCCGCCGCGGUAACACAGAGGGUGCGAGCGUUAAUCGGAUUUACUGGGCGUAAAGCGUGCGUAGGCGGCUUCUUAAGUCGGAUGUGAAAUCCCUGAGCUUAACUUAGGAAUUGCAUUCGAUACUGGGAAGCUAGAGUAUGGGAGAGGAUGGUAGAAUUCCAGGUGUAGCGGUGAAAUGCGUAGAGAUCGGGAGGAACAUCAGUGGCGAAGGCGGCCAUCUGGGACAACACUGACGCUGAGGCACGAAAGCGUGGGGAGCAAACAGGAUUAGAUACCCGAGUAGUCCCUGUCUCUUAUAC
rnacentral:rRNA from 1 species